rnacentral:rRNA from 1 species
UACAGAGGGUGCAAGCGUUAAUCGGAUUUACUGGGCGUAAAGCGUGAGUAGGUGGCUCGCCAAGUCGAUUGUGAAAGCCCUGGGCUCAACCUGGGAAUUGCAGUCGAUACUGGUGAACUAGAGUUCGGUAGAGGGUGACGGAAUUCCUGGUGUAGCGGUGGAAUGCGCAGAUAUCAGGAGGAACACCGGUGGCGAAGGCGGGUCUCUGGGCAGUAACUGACGCUGAGGAGCGAAAGCGUGGGGAGCGAACAGG